GACGUAGGGCGCGAGCGUUGUCCGGAUUUAUUGGGCGUAAAGAGCUCGUAGGCGGCUUGUCGCGUCGGACUGUGAAAACCCGCGGCUCAACUGCGGGCCUGCAGCCGAUACGGGCAGGCGUAGAGUUCGGUAGGGGAGACUGGAAUUCCUGGUGUAGCGGUGAAAUGCGCAGAUAUCAGGAAGAACACCAAUGGCGAAGGCAGCUCUCUGGGACGGUACUGGACGCUGAGACGCGAAAGCGUGGGGAGCGAACAGG
rnacentral:rRNA from 1 species